rnacentral:lncRNA from 1 species
AGGAAGUAGGGAGCUGAUUUGGACUGGACAGAGAUGAGGUUGUAGGUAGCUGAUGUGGACUGAAGAGAAAAAUGCCGUAGGUAGCUGAUUUGGACUGGAGAGAGAGGUUGUAUGUAGCUGAUUUGGACUGGAGAGAGAAGAUGAUUUGGACUUGAGAAAGAGGAGGUUGUAGGUAGCUAAUUUGGACUGGAGAGAUAGGAAGUAAGUAGCUGAUAUGGAACGGAGAGAGUGGAAGUAGGUAGCUGAUUUGGAAUGGAGAGAGAGAAGGCUGUAAGUAGCUUUUUUGGACUGGAGAGAGGUUGUUGGUAGUUGAUUUGGACUGGAGAGAGAAGAUGAUUUGGACUGGAAAGAGAGGAAAUAGGUAGAUGAUUUUGACUUGAGAGAGGAAGUAUGUAGCUUAAUUGGACUGGAGAAAGAGGAAGUAGGUAGUUGAUUUGGACUGGAGAAAGAGGAAGUUGUAGGUAGCUGAUUUGGACUGGAGAGAUAGGAAGUAAGUAGCUGAUAUGGAACGGAGAGAGUGGAAGUAGGUAGCUGAUUUGGACUGGAGAGAGAUGUUGUAUGUAAUCAAUUUUGACUGGAGAGAGAAGAUGAUUUGGACUGGAGAAAGAGGAAGUAGGGAGCUGAUUUGGAUUAGAGAGAUAGGAAGUAGGUAGCUGAUAUUGAAUGGAAAGAGAGGAAGUAGGUAGCUGAUUUGGACUGGAGAGAGAAGAUGAUUGGUACUGUGGAAAGUGGAAGUAUGAAGCUCAUGUGGACGGGAGCUAGAGGAAGUCGGUAGCUGAUUUGGAAUGGAGAGAGAGGAAGUAGGUUGCAUAUUUUAACUGGAGAGUGAAUAAGUAGGUAGUUGAUUUGGACUGGAGAAAGAGGAAUUAGGUAGCUGAUUUGGACGGGAGAGAGAGGAAAUAGGUAGCUGAUUUGGACAGGAGAGAGCGGAAGUAGGUAGUUGAUUUUGACUUGAGAGAGAGGAAUUAGGUAGCUUAUUUGAAAUGGAGAGAGUGGAAGUAGGUACCUUAUUUGGACUUGAGAGAGAGGAAGUAGGUUAUUGAUUUUGACUGGAGAAAGAAGAAGUAGAUCAUUGAUUUGGACUUAAUAAAUUGGAGGUUGUAGGUAGAUGAUUAGGACUGGAAAGAGAGUAGAUUGUAAGUAGCUGAUUUUGACUGGAGAGAGUACAAGAAGAAAGAUGAUUUGGACAGGAGAGAGGAAGUAGGUUUCUGAUUUGGACUGGAGAGAGAGGAAGUAGGUAGACGAUUUGGACUGGAGAAAGAGGAAGUAGGUAAUUGAUUUGGAUUUGAGAAAGAGGAGAUUAUAGGUAGUUGAUUUGGACUAGAGAGAGAGAGGAGGUAGGUAGCUGAUUUGGACUGUAAAGAAAGGAGGUUGUAAGUAGCUGAUUUGAGACUUGAGAGAGAGGACGUAGGUAGCUUAUUUGGACUGGAGAGAGAGGAGGAAGUAGGUAUCUGAUUUUUACUGGAGAGAGAGGAGGCUGUAAGCAGCUGAUUUGGACAGGAGAGAAAGGAAGUAAGUAGCUGAUAUGGAAUGGCAAGAGAGGAAGUAGGUAGCUGAUUCGGACUGGAAAGAGAUGAGGUUGUAGGAAGCUGAUGUGGACUGGAGAGAGAAAUGCCGUCAGUAGCUGAUUUGGACUGGAGAGAGAGGAAGUAGUUAUCUGAUUUUUACUGGAGAGAGAGGAGGCUGUAAGCAGCUGAUUUGGGCUGGAGAGAAAGGAAGUAAGUAGCUGAUAUGGAAUGGCAAGAGAGGAAUUAGGUAGCUGAUUUGGACUGGAAAGAGAUGAGGUUGUAGGUUGCUGAUGUGGACUGGAGAGAGAAAUGCCGUCGGUAGCUUAUUUGGACUGGAGAGAGAGGUUGUAUGUAGCUGAUUUGGACUGGAGAGAGAAGAUGAUUUGGACUGGAGAAAGAGGAAGUAGGUAGCGGAUUUGGACAGGAGAGAGAGGAAGUUGGUUACUGAUUUGGACUGGAGAGAGAGGAAGUAGGCAGCUUAUUUGGACUGGAGAAAGAGGAAGUAGGUCAUUGAUUUGUUCUUAAAAUGGGUAGGUUGUUGGUUGCUGAUUUGGACCGGAGAGAGAGGAGGUUGUAAGUAGCUGAUUUGACUGGAGAGAGAGGAGGUUGUAAGUAGCUGAUUUGAGACUGGAUAGAGGGGAAGUAGGUAGUUGAUUUGAACUGGAGAGAGAGGAAUUAGUUAACUGUUUUGGACUUAAAAGAGGAGGUUGUAGGUAGCUGAUUUUGACUUGAGAGAGAGGAAUUAGGUAGCUGAUUUGGAAUGGAGAGAGUGGAAGUAGGUACCUUAUUUGGACUUGAGAAAGAGGAAGUAUGUAGCUGAUUUGGACUGGAGAGAGAGGAGGAUGUAGGUAGCUGAUUUGGACUAGAGAGAGAGGAGGAUGUAGGUAGCUGAUUUGGAUUGGAGAGAGAUAGGUUGUAGGUUGCUAAUUUUGGACUGGAGAGAGACUAGAUUGUAUGUAGCUGAUUUUUACUGGAGAGAUAGGAAGCAUGUAGCUUAUUUGGACUGGAGUGAGAAGAUGAUUUUGACUGGAGAGAGAUGAAAUAGGUAGAUCAUGUGGACUGGAGAGAGAGGAAGUUGAUAGCUUAUUUGGACUGGUGAGAGAGGAAGAAGGUAGCUGAUUUGGAAUGGAGAGAGAGGAAGUAGGUAGCUUAUUUGGACUGGAGAGAGAGGAAGUAUGUACAGUAGCUGAUUUGGACUGGAGAGAGAGGAAGUCGGUAGCUGAUUUGGACUGGAGAGAGGGGAGGUUGUAGGUAGCUGAUUUGGAUUGGAGAGAGAGAAAGGUUGUAGGUAUCUGAUUUUGGACUGGAGAGGGAGUAGAUUGGAAGUAGCUGAUUAUGACUGGAGAGAGAGGAAGUAGGUAGUUAAUUUGGACAGGAGAGAGAAGAAGUAGGUAGUUAAUUUGGACAGGAGAAAGAGUUAGUAGGUAAUUGAUUUGGACUUGAGAAAGAGCAGGUUGUAGGUAGCUGAUUUUGGACUGGAGAGAGAGGAAGUUGGUAGCUGAUAUGGAAUGGAGACUUUGGAAUUAGGUAGCUGAUUUGGACUGAAGAGAGGGGAGAUUGUAGGUAGCUAAUUUGGACUGGAGUGAGAAAGGUUGUCGGUAGCUGAUUUGGACUGGAGAGAGAGAUUGCAGGUAGCUUAUAUUGACUGGAGAGAGAACAUGAUUUGGACUGGAGAGAGAGGAUGUAGGUAGCUGAUUUGGACUGGAGAGAGAAGAAGUAGGUAGCUGAUUUGGACUGGAGAGAGAGGAAGUAGGGAAUUGAUUUGGACUGGAGAAGAGGAAAUAGGUAAUUGAUUUGGACUUAAGAUAUUGGAGGUUGUAGGUAGCUGAUUUAGGACUGGAGAGAGAGUAGAUUGUAAGUAGCUGAUUUUGAGUGGAGAGAGAGUCAGUAGGAAGAUGAUUUGGACUGGAGAGAGAGGAAGUAGGCAGCUGAUUUGGACUAGAGAAAAAGGAAGUAGGUAGCUGAUUUGGACUGUAAAGAAAAGAGGUUGUAAGUAGCUGAUUUGAGACUGGAUAGAGGGGAAGUAGGUAGUUGAUUUGGACUGGAGAAAGAGGAAGUAGGUAAUUGAUUUGGACUUAAGAAAUAUGAAGUUGUAGCCUGCUGAUAUUGGACUGGAGAGAGAGUAGAUUGUAAGUAGCUGAUUUUGUGUGGAGAGAGAGUAGGAAUUAGGAAGGUGAUUUGGACUGGAGAGAAAAUAAGUAGGUAGCGGAUUUGGACUGGAGAGAGUGGAAGUAGGUAGCUGAUUUCCACUGGAGAGAGAGGAAGUAGACUGCUGAUUUGGACUGGCGAAAGAGGAAGUAGGUAGCAGAUUUGGACUGUAGAGAAAAGAGGUUGUAAGUAGCUGAUUUGAGACUGGAUAGAGGGGAAGUAGGUAGUUGAUUUGGACUGGAGCGAGAGGAAGUUGUUACUUUAUUUGGACUUAUGAAUGAGGAGGUUGUAGGUAGCUGAUUUGGUUUGGAGAGAGAAAGGUUGUAGGUAGCUGAUUUUGGACUGGAGAGAGAGUAUACUGUAAGUAGCUGAUUUUGACUGGAGAGAGAGGAAGUAGGUAGUUAAUUUGGACUGGAGAAAGAGUUAGCAGGUAAAUUAUUUGGACUUGAGAAAGAGCAGGUUGUAGGUAGCUGAUUUUGGACUGGAUCGAGAGGAGGUUGUAAGUAGCUAAUUUUGACUGUGGAGAGAGGAAGUCGGUAGCUGAUUUGGACUGGAGAAAGAGGACAUUGGAAGUAUAUGAUUUGGACUUGAAUGAGUGGAAGUGUGUUGCUGAUUUGAACUGGAGAGAGAGGAAGUAGGUAGCUGAUUUGGACUGGAGAGAGAGAUUAGGUUGUAGGUAGCAGAUUUUGACUGGAGAGAGGGG